GGGCCUUUUAAUGGUCAAUUAUUUUCAGGUUUCAGCGAAACGGAGCAGGAACUGGCUGUGAUCUCACAGCUUUACUUGCUUUAGAUAAAUUAGCAUGUGUAUUUGCUAACUAAUUUAGAGUUUCAUCCAUUAACGACAUACAUUUUUCAUGAACAUCGUUCCGAUCAACGGCAAAAGAGAGGAAAGAAAGUUGUGCUUGUACGUGGAACCACCUUGCACAAGACUGCUGAAUGAAGUGUCAGACCGCAUGGCGCAGGUAUUGCAGCCCUGACACAGCUGUACUAUUCCAGUCUAGGGUGUUCCUUAGCUCCUGUUAGAAUAAGGAAUCUGGGCACCUGGGCAGACCUACCAUGGCAAUUCCUUCCACAAAGCUCUAACAGAGGCAGCCUUUAGCUGAGUGUGUAUUUUUACGUACAGAUGUGAAAUCAGCUCAAACCGAUGGGAAAGCCUGACCCAGGAUAUAUUUGAGUCUGCCGUGACACCAGUUCUGAAUUCAAG